AUGGCCCCGAAGCGGCAAUCUGCGAUCCCGCCUCAGCCCAAGAAACCCAGACCCAUUGCUGCCCCGAAGUUGGAGGACAAGUUGGCCUCUCCCAGCCUGCCGAAGGGAGAAAAAGAACAGCAAGAAACUAUUGACCAUAUUGAUGAAGUACAAAAUGAAAUGGACAGACUUAAUGAACAAGCCAGUGAGGAAAUUUUGAAAGUAGAACAAAAAUAUAACAGACUCUGCCAACCAUUUUUUUUUUCAGAAGAGGUCAGAAUUGAUCGCCAAAAUCCCAAAUUUUUGGGUAACAACAUUUGUCAACCAUCCACAAGUGUCUGCACCGCGUGGGGAGGAAGACGAGGAGGCCCUGCAUUAUUUGACCAGAGUUGAAGUGACAGAAUUUGGAGACAUUAAAUCAGGUUACAGAAUAGAUUUUUAUUUUGAUGAAAAUCCUUACUUUGAAAAUAAAGUUCUCUCCAAAGAAUUUCAUCUGAAUGAGAGCGGUGACCCGUCUUCAAAGUCCACCGAAAUCAAAUGGAAAUCUGGGAAGGAUUUGACAAAAUGCUCAAGUCAAACGCCGAAUAAGGCCAGCAGGAAGAGGCAGCGUGAAAAGCCAGAGAGCUCCUUUCCCUGGUUUACUGACCGUUCUGACGCAGGUGCUGACGAGUUAGGAGAGGUCGUCAAGGAUAAUAUUUGGCCAAACCCCUUGCGGUCCUAUUUGGUUCCCGAUAUGGAUGAUGAAGGAGAGGCAGAGGAUGAUGAUGAUGACGACGACGAAGAAGAACCGUUGGAAGAUAUUGAUGAAGGAGACAGGGAUGAAGGUGAAGAAGAUGACGAUGAGGAGGAAGGGGAGGAAGGAAGACGAAGGCGAGGAUGA